GACCAGGGAUGGGAAUCGAACCCACAAUGUUCCACUUACCGGGCAGAUGCCAUGUCCACUAGGCUACCCUGGA
rnacentral:tRNA from 1 species